AUAUGGAAGAUUCGAACCUGCCGCAGGUUCGGGUCUCACGUAGUGAGACAACGGAGCCGCUUGCGGCGACGGCCCGAAGGGCGAGCAAAGCGAGUCAUCCUGCACGACCCACCA
rnacentral:sRNA from 5 species